AAAACAAAGCAUUGCGAU
rnacentral:snRNA from 1 species